AUAUUCCGAAAUCCAAAUGCCAAGGAACUGAGUGAUUCCUGGCUUCACUUCUUUGAAAGGUAAAAAACCGGGGAAGCAUAACCAAUCCUAAUCCAUCCUGUGAAGAAAAAUGGCCGACAUCUCAAGAGCCAUUGAAAGGGUCUUCCACAGUUUCAAGUGUCACAAAUCAAGAACCCAAUUACCAUUCAUUUGCUUACACUGAACCAGCUCUUUGAGUUUGCAUUGAGAAGUCGAGCCGAGCUAUUGUCUGCACAGAAAAGUUGGUUAUUGGUGCCCAGCAACUGUUUGAUUAAUUUUCUCUGAAAAGCUGAUUACUAGUUCAAAUGCGGGAAUUCGCAUCUCACUCUUGAAUUCAAACUUAAAGCGCCUCAAACAAUUAGCUGGUAGAGCCUUUGGGAUCAAUACUAAAAGUGAGAAGCAAUCUUUCCUUGGGGACUGCUUAUUUGGGCAUAUAAUGUCGAGAGACUUUAGGGCAAAGAGAAUUCAAACUCACUUCAUGUGUUCGGAAGACGGUGGUGAAAGCACUUAGCUCCAUCCAUCGCAGGAGCAACUCCUCACUUCUUUGAUACUUUAUUAUAGAAUGCUGAAAUUGGAACUUUAUAAGCUUUUAGGUCUUCCCAAACAUGACGUACAGCUUCUGUGCCACCCUGCAUUCCAACAACAGCUCCAGAUAUGAUCCAAUCAGGAAGCUCUGGCGGCCUUCCAAUAGUUUCUGUGAAGUGUUCAAUAAGCUCCAAAGGUGAGCUCCCAUGCACUAUCCUUCCCUGAAUGGAAUUGCCAUGUAUCUGCAAGCUCCAGUAUACAGAAAACGAGAAACUGCAAGUUUAAACUAUGAAUGAGAUUGAUUAUUUGCGAUGCAAAUAUCUUCUCUUUCUUGAUCUUCUCCAAAGCUGGUAUUAGUUUACUGUGUUUCACCUAAAAGAUUCAUGUGUGGUAUGCUCAAUCUACCUUCUGAUUUUUCAAUAUAUAGCUGAAUUUCAUUAAAUUUCUGUCAUUUAAUUUCUUGUAUAAUACUUGAUCCUAAUUUUUUGACAAAUUCAUAUGAUAUAAUAUUAUUGAACAA